rnacentral:rRNA from 1 species
CCCCUAGAUGUUCUGGGCCGCACGCGCGCUACACUGAACAGUUCAACAAGUCUUAACCUUGGCCGAUAGGUCUGGGCAAUCUUUGAACGCUGUUCGUGAUUGGGAUAGACCUUUGCAAUUAUGGGUCUUCAACGAGGAAUUCCUAGUAAACGCAAGUCAUCAGCUUGCAUUGAUUACGUCCCUGCCCUUUGUACACACCGCCCGUCGCACCUACCGAUUGAAUGGUCCGGUGAAAUCUCGGGACGGCGGCUCGGUCGCUUGCGUCCGACUGCUGAAACUUGAUUAAACCAUAUCAUUUAGAGGAAGGUGAAGUCGUAACA